UAUCCAUUGGGCCAACGCCAGCAAAAACUGCCCUGUCCAGUAAAAACAAGUAAGUCAGAUUCAGUACGAACUCACACCCUUCUUCUUCGUACCCCCUUCUCGACCAACGCCGCCACCGCGACCGCCGCCUGACCACGCCGCUCUUCGCCGCCGGAACUGCGCGGCCACCGCCAACUCCGACAAAGGAGGUCAUGGCCAAUUCUAGAGGCAACAAUGAGUCGGUGUGCGAUGUGGACAUGGCCAACAAUCAAUUCUUAGACACUUAUGAGUAUAUCAUCAAGAGCAUGCAAGGGGCAAAUGACGAGCUAAAGGUGGAGAUUAAAGAGCUACGCAAGGACACUAUUUGGCUCGUUAAGGAGACUAAUGAGUUGAGGGACGAGAGGGAUAAGCUCGUCGAGGAUCGGGAAAACUGAAGGAGGGCAUAAGACUCCUUAGGGCUGAGAGGAUUGACUUGAAGAUGGCCAUAGGUCAUUUCAGAAGAAAUGGAGAGGGGGGUAGAAAGAAGAUUCGCCAGCUGGGCAUUCUCCUUGAUGAUGAUUAGUUUUUUUAAGUAGCUAGUUCAUCUUAUUAGUUGAUUAUGAUCGAGUAACUAGAGUACUUGAUGAGCAACUUUUGUGAAGUUUAAUAUCAACUUGUUAAGUUCAU